CGUGUCGUGAGAUGUUGGUUAAGUCCCGCAACGAGCGCAACCCCUACUUGUUAGUUGCCAUCAUUCAGUUGGGCACUCUAGCGAGACUGCCGGUAAUAAACCGGAGGAAGGUGGGGAUGACGUCAAAUCAUCAUGCCCCUUAUGACCUGGGCUACACACGUGCUACAAUGGUUGGUACAACGAGUUGCGAGUCGGUGACGGCGAGCUAAUCUCUUAAAGCCAAUCUCAGUUCGGAUUGUAGGCUGCAACUCGCCUACAUGAAGUCGGAAUCGCUAGUAAUCGCGGAUCAGCACGCCGCGGUGAAUACGUUCCCGGGCCUU
rnacentral:rRNA from 1 species